rnacentral:SRP_RNA from 1 species
GCCAGGAGCAAUGGUUCACACCAGUAGUCCCAGCUACUUGAGAGGCUGAGGCAGGAGGAUUGCUUGAGUCUAGGAGUUCUGGGAUGUAGUGUACUAUACACCUUGAUGGAGUGUUGAUACUAAGUUCAACAUCAAUAUGGUACCCUCCUAAGAGUAGUGGACCUCCAGGUUUCCUAAGGAGGGGUAAACUGGUCUACACUGAAAAUGGAUCAGGUCAAAAGUCCCGUGCUGAUCAGAAGUGGGAUUGCAUCUGUGAAUAGCCAUUGCACUCCAGCAUGGACAACAUAGCGAGACCCCACCUCU